rnacentral:lncRNA from 1 species
CGCCCCGCCUCCUGCUCGCGCGUCGCGGGAAGCCGCCCCACAACUGUUGUGCGCUUCUGGCCCGCUGCCGGCCAGAUCCGUCGCGUCGCUCCGGUUAGUGAGUCAGGCCGUCACCGCCCCCUCUGAUACCUUCACCUCAUCGUGCCUCAUCCUCUCCCUCGUCUUCUUGUGUCCAUGGCGUCGCCGCUCCUUCCUCGCAUUGAGGCCUUGCAGUCACAGGGAGCUCUUGCAGCCGCCGGUCGUGGUCGACCCAAGCGUCGCUUCUCUGUUCCCCUCGCCUCGAGCCGCUGGUUGCCCGAGGAUCCGCCGCCACUUGCUGUUGUAGCCGAUGUUGCGCCGUUCCCCUGUGUCCGUGAGGUCCUACACUGACUCCCUUACGUGCUUCUUCGAGCAUGAGCUCUUCUGCCUCAGAGCUCUUUCGCAGCCACCACUAUCGGUUCCCUACUCCAUCCCUUGGUCGUGUUUUGGCUCUGGUGGGACCUCUUGUGGCCGCCAUCAAGUUAUUGUUGGUUGGGACGUUGAUGUUGCCAGCACCUAAUGCAACUAACGCUUCCUGACCAUCGCUUUCCAAGUGACGUCCACGAUGGCCCCAUGUGUUUAUGAAGCGUGUUCAACUAUCGUCGCCUUCGAUCCGCUUGAGUACCACUACGCCAAGUGUAUGACUACCAUUGACAAGAUUGUGAGUACCACAACUUCCGCGACAUCCACGACGACUCAUGUACAUCUACACCGCAACGACUCGAUCCGCUCCAAGAUGCACGCUUCGAAGGUAUAACCGCCGAGACGAUACUCGUAGACCGAAUGCAUUGUCGUGUGAGGUGCGAUGUUGUCCGUUUCGUAGAUGCCAUGUCAGUUGCACGUUGUCCCUCUUUUGUCGUGCCCUGCCACAUGGGAACCUGCCAACCGGGAUCACCCCAUCAUUCUUGGCAUGACACGCACACGCUCCCAAUUCGUUAGCACCGGUAUCUCGUCGAGCUAACGGGACUGGAACAGUGUCGUAGUAUCAUUUCCGUUUUGUCGCCAUGGUUCCCUUUCGUUCGCCAUGGCGACACAUGCUUCAUAUCCUUCUUGCCAGUGUUCUCAUAAAAUAACAUGCAUGUUGCAUUCAUGGCAUAAUAUUCUGUGUUGCACGUAUCUUUUAACCGUAGCUCCGUUCAAUGUUCUUAAGUGUUAACCGACUAGAAUGACAUGUACAAUCACAUGCUUCACCUCUUGCCAUGUUUAAACAACAUUUAAUAUUGUCGUGUACCUAAACAGGAAUGAACUAAAUAAUUCAUAUGUGGAGUUUCGUCAGUAUGCAACUCGUUGCAUAUUGAGCUUCACUUAAUGUGUAGUGAUUGAUUGUUGUGAAUUGACAUGACAUGCCUUGCAUAAUUGAAAUGGACAUGCAUCAUAAUUGGUUGUGCAUCAUAUCAUGCAUGUGCCAUUGUGAAUAUCGUGUGUUGAUUCUUGUUUUCAGUUUGCUUCUUCUCGUUAGGGUUCCACAAGUGUGUCAAAAUGUGAGGAUUCUUUUGUUGGAAAUAUGCCCUAGAGGCAAUGAUAAAUAGUUAUUAUUAUAUUUCCUGUUUAAAUAUAAUCGUUUAUUAUCCAUGCUAUAAUUGUAUUGAAUGAAAACAUAGAUACAUGUGUGGAUACAUAGACAAAACAAUGUCCUUAGCAAGCCUCUAGUUGGAUAGCCAGUUGAUCAAUGAUAGUCAAGCUUUUCUGACUAUGUGCAAGCGUUGUCACUUGAUAACUGGAUCACAUCAUUAGGAGAAUCAUGUGAUGGACUAGACCCAGACUAUGAACAUAGCAUAUUGAUCGUGUCGUUUUAUUGCUACUGUUUUCUACGUGUCAAGUAUUUGUUCCUAUGACCAUGAGAUCAUAUAACUCACUAGCACCGGAGGAAUACCUUGUGUGCAUCAAACAUCACAGCGUAACUGGGUGACUAUAAAGGUGCUCUACAGGUAUCUCCGAACGUUUCCGUUUAGUUAGUAUGGAUCAAGACUGGGAUUUGUCACUCCGUGUGACGCAGAGGUAUCUCAGGGCCCACUCGGUAAUACAACAUCACACACAAGCCUUGCAAGCAAUGUGACUAAGUAUAAGUCACGGGAUCUUGUAUUACGGAACGAGUAAAGAGACUUGCCGGUAACGAGAUUGAAAUAGGUAUGCGGAUACCGACGAUCGAAUCUCGGGCAAGUAACAUACCAAAGGACAAAGGGAAUGACAUACGGGAUUAUAUGAAUCCUUGGCACUGAGGUUCAACCGAUAAGAUCUUUGGAGAAUAUGUGGAAUCCAAUAUGGGCAUCCAAGUCCCGCUAUUGGAUAUUGACCGAGGAGUGCCUCGGGUCAUGUCUACAUAGUUCUCGAACCCGCAGGGUUUGCAAACUUAAGAUUCGAUGAUGUUUUAGUAUAGUUGAGUUAUAUGUGUGGUUACCGAAUGUUGUUCGGAGUCCCGUAUGAGAUCAUGUACAUCACGAGGGUUUCCGGAAUGGUCCGGAAACGAAGAUUGAUAUAUAGGAUAGUUUCAUUUGGUCACCAGAAAGUUUCGGGCAAUUCCGGCAGUGUACCGGGAGUGAUGAAUGGGUUCCGGGUGUUUUACCGGGAGGGCCCCACCCACCCGAGAGUGAUCCCAAGGCCCUAGGGUGGCGCACCAAGUCCUUAUUGGGCUGGUGGAGUCAUCCCAAGAGGGCUAUGGUGCCACAUAAGAAAAUACCAAAAGAAAAGAAGAAAAAAAGGAAAGAGGGAGGUGAGAAGGAAGAGGAGGACUCCUCCUUCCCAAACCGAAUUGGAAGAGGAGUCCUCCUCCUCCUGGCGGCCGACGCACCUUGAUGCCCUUGUGCCUCAAGUCUAGCCCCUCCCCUCCUCCUAUAUAUAUUGGUGGUUUAGGGAUUUUUGAGACACAACUUUGCCACGUGCAACUCAAGGCUAUUCCACAUAGUUUUACCUCUAGAUCGGAUUUCUGCGGAGCUCGGGUGGAGCCCUGUAGGAGUAGAUCGUCACCACCACCGGAGCAUCGACACGCUGCCGGAGAACUCAUCUACAUCUCUGUCUUGCUUGCUGGAUCAAGAAGGCCGAGAUCAUCGUCGAGCUGUACGUGUGCUGAACGCGGAGGUGUCGUCCGUUCGGCACUAGAUCGGAACCGUUCGAGGGACAGAUCGUGGGACAACGGUGAUUGGAAUCACAAAGCUGUACCACUAUGUCAACCGCGUUUCUUAACGCUUACCGCUGUGCGAUCUACAAGGGUACGUAGAUCUAAUAUCCUCUCGUAGAUGGACAUCACCAUGAUAGGUCUUCGUGUGCGUAGGAAAUUUUUUGUCUCCCAUGUAACGUUCCCCAACAUCUUUCGACUAUGUCGGUUCGUCUGCUUCACAGAUUCGUUCUUCUUCCAAGCGGGGUCACAGGCAAGAUGAUCAUUUCCCUAGAUACCAUUACUAUCAAUGCCAUGCUAGUUGUCUCAUUUCUUUCGUUAUGUCUCGCUGCCUACCACUUAAAUGUCAGCCUCCCAAUAUUGCCAUGAAAAACCUCUAACCUUUCCACAACCCAGCAGAUCACUGUUUUGCUAUGUUACCACUUGCUCAACCUUUUGAUAGCGUUGCUAGUUGCAGGUGCAGUUGCUUCCAUGUGAAACAUGGGUUCCUUGUUAUAUCAUCAUAUUAUUGCUAAUUAUUUAAUGCACCUAUAUACUUGGUAAAAGGUGGAAGGCUUGGCCUUCUAGCCUGGUGUUCUGUUCCACCUUUGUCGCCUUAGUUUCGGCUACCGGUGUUAUGUUCCAUAAAUGAGCGCUCCUAACAUGCUUGGGGUUGUUAUGGGGACCCCCUUGACUUUCGUUUUGAGAUAAAACUCGUCUGGCAAGGCCAAACAUUGUUACUAUAUUUUCCCAACAUAAUAAUACUGAAAAACAUAGGGUGUCAUGAACCCGAGGACUAAUUCAAUAUAAUACAGGGAGGGCCAAUGUUGAUGGUGCUGGUCCUAAACAGAGAAUUGUGUGGGGCGAACCCGGGGCAACUAGGGAGAUUUCUAUCAGGACACUAUACGCCUCGCUCAUCCGUCGUGUCCCGAGAACGAGAUACGCGGCUCCUAUCGGGAUCGUCAACACGUCGGGCGGCCUUGCUGGACUUGUUUUACCUUUCUCGAGCAUCUCGUGCGUGGGAUUCCGAGGAUACUUUGGUCUAUCUCGAGGUUGAGGUUUUCCAAUAGGACCCCGAGGAGAUCACAUGUUCUCCCUGAUCGAGGUCAUUUCGGCGGAGCGUGUGGUAGUUUGUGAUGGACUAAUUGGAGCACCCCUACAGGGUUAAAUCUUUCGGAAAGCCGUGCCCACGGUUAUGUGGCAAACUUGGAAACUUUGUUUAACAUCCUAUUCUAGAUAACUUGAAGUAAACUUAAGUAAAAUAUGCCAACUGUGUGUGUAACCGUGACUGUCUCCUCUCGUCAGUUCUGUAUCCAGAAGAGGACACAAUGGGGUUAUGUCUAACGUAAGUAGGUUUUCAGGAUCAUUCAUUUGAUCAUCAGUAGUUCAUGUCCUAUAUCCGUGGAUCAUCCCCCCUUUUAUUCUUAUACUUUUAAGUUAGCCACCUCAAAUAAAUGCUUAGUCGCUUGCUGCAGCCUCACCACUUAACCAUACCUCACCCAUUAAGCUUUGCUAGUCUUGAUACCUUUGGAAAUGAGAUUGUUGAGUCCCUGUGGCUCACAGAUUACUACAACACCAGUUGCAGGUACACGUAAAGCGAUACUCUAACGUGAGCGCGAUGAUUGUUCUAUUUGGAGUUUCUUAUUCUUCUUCUUCAAUGAUAUAGGAUGGGUUCCAGGCUGGCAGCCCGGGAUAGCAAGGAUGGACGUCGUUCUUUUAUUGUUUAUUUUCGUCCGUAGUUGGACCCUGCUCUUCUUCAUGAUGAUUGAUUAUGUUGUUGUACUGAUGUGAACUUGAUGUAGCUUGUGGCGAGUGUAAGCCAAUUCCACAUACUUAUUUUUUCAGUACAUGUACUUGUAACAAUAUCCAUUCUUGCAAAACGACGAGAUGCGCUUCUAUCCCUGUCGAAGGCCCUCACGCCAAAAUAAGGAUAGGAUCACACCUUGGGCGUUACACUAGGCAUAUUACAUAGUUUCAAGUGUUGUCAUCUUUGCAGGAAUGACCCAUCAUGCUAUAAUCAUAUUCCCUCCUUUCAUUAGCAAGUUUUCUUAUAGGUAAGAAAAAAUAAUUGAAGGUACUAAAUAGCACAAUAGUAGGAUCCGAAAGGUGUGCCUUGGGAGGAACAUGAGGUUCUUCUUUAGGUUUUUCAUAAGUGAUAGUUAGCUCCUCAUUGUAUAAGUUCCGAUAGAGGUAUUUUAUUAAUUUUAUUUCAAGAUCAUAACCCAAUACAAGUUUUGGUAUAGCAAAUUGAUCCUUGUGUUUAGAAAUCUUAUGAACUAAUAUAUUAAGUGGAACCUUCUUUCUAAGAUUCUCAUCAUAAGCAACAUAGUGUGUGGAUCUUAGUUUUCUUAUUUCUUCCUACUCAUAAAGAAUCCCCUCUAUGUGUGGGCACUUAACAUUAACCCUAUAAUGAGAAAAUAUAUUUCUAGCUUCUUGUAUGAUAUUACUAAAUUCUUGACAAAUAAAUAUAGUAGCUAGACGUUUGGUGGAAGCUUCAUUGAUAUUAGAGAAUUCUAGAAACAACCAUUGCAUGAAAGGAUGCAUGUGCACUAAUUGUCUUUCCAAUUAUACUAUAAGCAAAGAUACAGCAUCCGCAUAACUUGUAGUUCUAGCAACACUAGAACCCCCUAUCAAUGGUAAUGAUCAUGCACAAGUGGAAAAAUCUUGAAUCACUCUUACCAAUAAUAUUACAACUACCUAUGCGGAAUUUCUUAGUCUCCAUAAUAGGUUCUACCUUAGAACGAUCAUCAUCCGCAAGAUUAUCAAGUUUUUAAUUAACAACUUCAUCAAAAUUUCUUUUAGCAUUCUCAUCACAAGGUGAAGUUGGAAAAAUCUAGGACUUACGCACUAGAGGCGGAGGCAUCACUAACUUAAAACUGAGACAUGAUAGCAACUUUCAAGCAAACUAGAGAGCGAAGAUGCAAACUAGUGACAAGCUAAGCAAGGAAAGGUAAAUAUUCUGAAUUUUUUAUGAGACAAAAUAAAUAUACCAUAAAAUAAAAAGGAUAACAAGUGAAUGAAAAUUUGUGUGAAGUUACUUGGUAGUUGGUGAUGAUAUUCCCUGACAAUGGUGCCAGAAAUCCUUCCUGAUACUUGUGAUCUGCAUUGGGUUUUCUGUGAAGAGGAACGGGUUAUCGCAACACAAUGUGGGUAAGUAUUUCCCUCAAUUAUGAAAGCAAGGUUUAUCGAAACAAUAGGAAUAUCAACCACAACCGUAUUCAACGGCUGCACACAAAAGAACAAACAACUUGCAUCCAGCGCGGGCAAGAGGGUUGUCAAUCCCCUCGAUCUUGAUAUUUGCAAGCAAGUGAGGUGUGUAGAUAAUUGUAAAUUGCAAAAUAAAAUGAAAACAAGUAAAUGGAAGCAAGGUAUUGAAGGUUUUGUAAAUAUAUGAUGAAUAGACCCAGGGCCCAUAGUUUUACCUAAUGGUAUCUCUCACUUAAAAUAGCAUAUGGUGGGUAAACAAAUUAUUGUUGGGCAAUUGACAAAAAAGCACAUAGUUAUGCGAUAUUCACAACAAUAAUCAUGUGUAUAUAGGCAUCACGUCCAUAAACAACUAGUCCAACUCCUCCCUGCACCUAUUACUAUUACUCCACUCAUCGACCGCUAUCUAGCAUGCAUCUAGAAUAUUAAGUAAAACAGAGUAAUGCAUGGAGAAUGAUGACAUGAUGUAGAAAAAGUAAACUCAAGCAAUAUAAAUAAACCCCAUCGUGUUAUCUUAAGUAGAAACAACACAAAGAUGCAUCUUGUCCUCUUCUAUCACUGGGAUAUACAAAUUUGCCAGGUUGAACCUACUACAACGCACCUCUCUCACCGAAGAAAUAUCAAUCUAGUUGGCCAAACUAUUGCAAUAGAUUGGAGAAAAUUACGAAGCUAUCAUAAUCAUGGACAUUGCUACCCCUUGAGCUUGCGUUGGUUUUCCCUUGAAGAGGAAAGUGUGAUGCAACGAAGUAGAUAAGUAUUUCCCUCGGUUUGUUGAGAACCAAGGUAUCAAUCCAGUAGGAGGAACAAACAAGGCCCCAAUCGUAGUACCUACACAAAGAAUCAAACUCUUGCACCCAACGCUAAAAAGGGGUUCUCAAUCCUUUCUGAGUUAUUUUCAAGGAUGAGACAUGAUAGAUAUAGAUAUAAAGAUUGCGUAAACAAAAGUAAAUAAAUUGCAGCAAGCUAUUAUUGGUAUUUUUGGUUUAUAGAUCUGAAAGUAUAAUAUGGAAAAUAGACUUGGGGGCCAUAGGUUUCACUAGAGGUUUCUCUCAUAAAGGAAAUAAUAUGGUGGGUGAACAAUGUAUUGUUGAGAAAUUGAUAGAAAAGCGAAUAAUUAUGAAUAUAUCUAAGGCAAGGACUAUGCAUAUAGGCAUCAUGUCUGUGUCAAGUAGACCGAAACGAUUCCGCAUCUACUACUAUUACUCCACACAUCGACCGACUCCUGCCUGCAUCUAGAGUAUUAAGUUCAUGAAAAACAGAGUAAGACAUUAACUAAGAUGACAUGAUGUAGAGGGAUAAACUCAAGCAAUAUGAUGAAAACCCCAUCUUUUUAUCGUCGAUGGCAACAAUACAAUAUGUGCCUCGCUACUCCUACUUUGUCACAGGGUGAGGACACCGCAAGAUUGAACCCAAAACUAAGCACUUCUCCCAUUGCAAGAAUUACCAAUCUAGUUGGUCAAAGGUGAGGACAUCGAAGGGAUUUGCUAAGAUGUGAAAUCAUGCAUAUAAGAAUUCAGAGGAGAUUCAAAUAAUAUUCAUAGAUAAUCUGAACAUAAACUCACAAUUCAUCGGAUCUCAACAAACACACCGCAAAAGAGUAUUACAUUGAAUAGAUCUCCAUGAAGAUCAUGAAGAACAUGGUAUUGAAGAUCAAAGAGAGAGAAGAAGUCAUCUAGCUACUAUCUAUGGACCCGUAGGUCUAUCGUGAAGUACUCACGCAUCAUCGGAGGGGCAAAGGAGUUGAUGUAGAUGCCCUCUGUGAUCAAUUCCCUCUCCGACAGAUCAACGAAAAAGGCUCCCAUAUUGGAUAUCACUGGAACAGAGGCUCCCGGCGGCGGAAAAGUAUUUUGUGUCUCUUUUUAGCGAUGGGGAAUAUUUGGGAAUUUAUAGGCCAAAGAAUAGGGUUAGUAGGCCUGCGGGGGACCCACAAGCCAAGGGGCGCGGCCAACCCCCUAGGGCAUGCCCUGCAGGCUUGUGGCCUUUCGGCACGUGCCCUGCCCUCUAUUACAAGUCUCCUCGGUUUCUUUUGGUCCAAGAAAAAUCUUUUUGGAUAUUUUGUUCCGUUUGGACUCCUUUUAAUAUUCCUUAUCUGGAAUACUCAAAAACAUGGAAAAAACAGAAAUUGACACUAGGCUCUAGAGUAAUAGGUUAGUCCCAAAAAUAAUAUAAAAUAGCAUAUUAAUGCAUAUAAAAUAUCCAAAAUAGAUAAUAUAAUAGCAUGGAACAAUCAAAAAUUAUAGAUACGUUAGAGACAUAUCAAGCAUCCCCAAGCUUAAUUCCUCCUCGUCCUCGAGUAGGUAAAUGAAGAAAACAGAAUUUUUGAUGUGGAAUGCUACCUAACAUAUUUAUCCAUGUAAUAUUCUCUAUUGUGGCAUGAAUAUUCAGAUCCAUAAGAUUCAAAACAAAAGUCUAAUAUUGACAUAAAAACAAUAAUACUUCAAGCAUACUAAUAAGGCAAUUGCUUCCGUUCAAAAUAACAUGGUCUUAGAAAGUUAUCCCUACAAAAUCAUAUGGUCUGGCUAUGCUCCAUCUUCACCACACAAAGUAUCUAAAUCAUGCACAACCCCGAUGAAAAUCGAGCAAUUGUUUCACACUUUUUAUGUUCUCAAACCUUUUCAACUCCCACGCAAUACAUGAGCGUGAGCCAUGGAUAUAGCACUAUAGGUGGAAUAGAGUAUGGUGGAGGUUGCAAAAAAAGGAGAAGAUAGUCUCACAUCAACUAGGCAUAUCAAUGGGCUAUGGAGUUCCCAUCAAUAGAUAUAUCAAUGUGAGUGAGUAGGAAUUGCCAUGCAACAAAUGCACUAGAGCUAUAAGUGUAUGAAAGCUCAAAAAGGAAACUAAGUGGUUGUGCAAAAGAUGUAAUUCCACUAGUUAUAUGAAAGUGACAAAAUAGGAGACUCUCUAUGAAGAACAUGGUGCUACUUUGGAGCACAAGUGUGGAAAAAUAUAAUAGCAUACUAGAAUUGUCCCUUUUGUCUUUCUCUCAUUUUUUCUUUUUUUGGAUGGGCUUCUUUGGCCUCUUUUAUUUUUUUAUGGGUUUCACUGGCCUCUUUUAUUUUUUGUAAACUCCGGAGACUCAUCCCAACUUGUGAGGGAAUCAUAGCUUCCAUCAUCCUUUUAUCACACGGGACAAUGCUCUAAUAAUGCAAAUCAUCACACUUUUAUUUUACUUACACCUCAAAGAUUACAACUCGAUAUCUAGAACAAAAUAUGACUCUAUAAGCAAUAUGGAAGUGAUGGUGCGUAUCAUAAAAAUGAGACGGCGGUGUUCCAUGGCAAUAUAUCUCGGAAUGGCUAUGAAAAUGCCAUAAUAGGUAGAUAUGGUGGCUGUUUUGAGGAAAAUAUAUGGUGGCUGUUUUGAGGAAGGUGGCUUUAAUGUACCGGCGAGAGUUGCGCGGUACUAGAGAGGCUAGCAAAAGUGGAUGGGUGAGAGUGCGUAUAAUCCAUGAACUCAACAUUAGUCAUAAAGAAGUCACAUACUUAUUGCAAAAGCCUAUUAAUUAUCGAAGCAAAGUAUUAUACGCAUGCUCCUAGGGGAAGGGUUGGUAGGAGUUAACCAUCGCGCGAUCCCGACCUCCACACAAAGGUUGACAAUCAUUAAACAAAUCAUGCUCCGACUUCAUCACAUAACGGUUCACCAUACGUGCAUGCUACGGGAAUCACAAGCUUGAACAAAAGUAUUUCUUCUAAUUCACAAUUACUUACUAGCAUGACUCUCAUAUUACCAUGUUCAUAUCUCAAAACUAUAUGCAAGAAUCAAACUUCUCGUCAUAUUCAAUGCAUUUAAUAUGAAAGUUUAUUAUAUCCCUCUUGGAUGCCCAUUAUAUUAGGACUAAAUUCAUAACCUAAACCAAUUACCAUGUUGUUUAAAGAACUCUCAAAAUAAUAUAAGUGAGGCACGAGAGUUUAAUAAUUUCCAUAAAACACCACACCGCCGUGCUCUAAAAGAUAUAAGUGAAUCACUAGAGCAACAUUGCCUAGCUCAAAAGAUAUAAGUGAAGCACAAAGAGUAUUCUAAUAAAUUCUCGUUUUAGCGUGUCUCUCUCAAACAAUGUGUGCAGCAAGGAUGAUUGUGUCAAACUAAAAAGUAAAGACUCGUAUUAUACAAGACGCUCCAAGCAAAACACAUAUCAUGUGGUGAAUAAAAAUAUAGCCUCAAGUAAAUUUACCGAUGGAUUGAAGACGAAAGAGGGGAUGCCUUCCGGGGCAUCCACAAGCUUACGCUCUUUGGUAUCCUUGAAUAUGGCUUGGGUUGCCUUGGGCAUCCUCAAGCUUAGGCUCUUGCCAGUCCUUAUUCCGUAGUCCAUCAAAUCUUUACCCAAAACUUGGAAACUUCACAACACAAAACUCAAGAGAAAACUCAUGAGAUCCGUUAGUAUAAGAGAAAUAAAUCACCACUUUAGGUACUGUUGUGAACUCAUUCUUUAUUUAUAUUGAUGUAAUAUUUACUGUAUUCCAACUUCUCCAUGGUUCAUACCCCCCGAUACAACCCAUAGAUUCAUCAAAAUAAGCAAACAACACAAAGAAAACAGAAUCUGUCAAAAACAGAACAGUCUAUAGUAAUCUGUUUACUUAGAAUACUUAUAUAACUCCAAAAAUUAUGAAAUAUUAGGAAUAUUUGGGUCAUUUGUAAAUCAAUCAUGUGUAAAAAAUUCAGAUCAAAAUCACGUUCCAGUGAAUUUUCAAAAUUCCUGGACUGAGAGCAAAAGUUUCUGUUUUUCAGCAAAAUCAACUUGCAAACACCGUAGAUCAUCCCAAAGGUCUUACUUGGCUCAAACACUAAAUAAAACAAGAGAACACAAUUAUUACAGAGGUGAUAAUGUGUGAAGCACUCAAAAACAGAAGCAAAAACAAAAGUAUAAAUAUAAAAUUGGGUUGCCUCCCAACAAACACUAUUGUUUAACGCCCCUAGCUAGGCAUAAUGCGAUAGAUCUAGGUAUUGUCAUAAUAGUAGGGGAGAACAUCAAUGCUCUUAUCAUACUCCCUUAUUUCAGCAGAAAGUUUCCUUUGUGGCAAGAAAAAGUAAUAAAAAGUGCUAAAUUCAAUAGGAUAAGGAUCGUUAAGAUCAAGUGCGGGAGGAAUAGGUUCCUCCUUCGGCCCUCUGUAGUGUAUGAUCAAUAAAUCAUUGUAGGCUUUCCUCUAGUGGAAGGUCAUAAGUCUAUCUGUUAGUAUGAACUCUAAUCAAUUAUUUUGUAUAGAAAAAUCAUCACUGAGUUCAAAAAUCUUAUCAACCAAAACCUCAAUAGGAACCCAUUUUCUCAAAAUUUUAUUAUAAGCAACAUAAUCCGGAGACUGCAAUCUCAUUAUUUCUUCUUGAUUAAAUAGGGUCUCCUCAAUGGGGGGACAUCCGCCAUUAAUUUUAUAAUGAGAAAAAAUUUCACUACCCUCUUUCGUGAAUCUUAACUCGUGAGCUAGAAAUAUAGUGGCGACAUGCUUAACGGAAGCAAGCUGAAUAUUAGAGAACUGAAGAAAAAUCCUUUGUAUGCAAGGAUGCAUAUGAAAAAAUUGUCUCUCAAGUUCAAUUAUUAAUAGUGUUAUGGAAUCUGCAAGACUAUUAGUUUUAUUUAGGAUAGACCUUCCUAAAGUAGGCAGCAUACCCGCACAAGUAAAGAAAUCUUGAAUAACACCUUUUCCAAUAAUAUUGCCGCUACCUAUGAGGAGUUUUUUUUUGUAUGCAUGAUAGUAGGUUCUCUGUGAUCAUUAUCUUCAAGAUUAUUACUAUCCGUUUCAAUGUAAACCUCCGAGUCCCAGGAUUCAGACAGGUGGUAAUGAAUAUAUCUAGCACACAAGCAAGCAAACGAAAAGACGAACGAAAAAAGGGCGAAUAAAAAGGCAAAUCUUUUUGGUAUUUUCUAAAAAUUGUUUUAGAAGUGGGGCAGAGGAAAACGAGAGGCAAAUGGCAAAUAAAGUAAAUGCAAUAGAUAAGUUUGUGAUGGGUACUUCGUAGGUUUGAACUUGCUAUGUAUCCUCCCCGGCAACGGCGCCCGAAAUCCUUCUUGCUACCUCUUGAGUUUGCGUUGGUUUUCCCUUAAAGAGGAAAGGGUGAUGCAGCGAAGUAGAUAAGUAUUUCCCUCAGUUUGUUGAGAACCAAGGUAUCAAUCCAGUAGGAGGAACAAGCAAGGCCUCAAUCGUAGUACCUACACAAAUAAUCAAACUCUUGUACCCAACGCUAAAAAGAGGUUGUCAAUCCCUUCAGAGUUAUUUGCAAGGAUGAGAUCUGAUAGAGAUAUAUAAAAAGAUUGUGGAAACAAAAGUAGAUAAAUUGCAGCAAGAUAUUCUGGGUAUUUUUGGUUUAUACAUCUGAAAGUAUAAUAUGGAAAAUACACCCGGAGGCCAUAGGUUUCACUAGAGGCUUCUCUCAUAAAGGAAAAUAAUAUGGUGGGUAAACAAAUUAUUGUCGAUCAAUUGAUAGAAAAGCGAAUAAUUAUGAAGAUAUCUAAGGCAAUGAUUAUGCAUAUAAGCAUCACGUCCGUGUCAAGUAGACCGAAACGAUUCUGCAUCUACUACUAUUACUCCACAGAUCGACCGGCUCCUGCGUGCAUCUAGAGUAUUAAGUUCAUGAAGAACAGAGUAACGCAUUAAGUAAGAUGACAUGAUGUAGAGGGAUAAACUCAAGCAAUAUGAUGAAAACCCCAUCUUUUUAUCCUCGAUGGCAACAGUACAAUACAUGCCUUGCUACCCCUACUUUGUCACUGGGUGAGGACACCGCAAGACUAAAUCCAAAACUAAGCACUUCUCCCAUUACAAGAAUUACCAAUCUAGUACCAAACCAAUAACUCGAAGAUACUUGCUAAGAUAUGAAAUCAUGCAUAUAAGAAUUCAGAAGAGUUUCAAAUAAUAUUUAUAGAUAAUCUGAACAUAAACUCACAAUUCAUCGGAUCUCGACAAACAUACGCAAAAGAGUAUUACAUCGGAUAGAUCUACAUGAAGAUCAUGAAGAACAUGGUAUUGAAGAUCAAAGAGAGAGAAGAAGCCCUCUAGCUACUAGCUAUGGACUCCUAGGUCCGUGGUGAACUACUCAUGCAUCAUCGGAGAGGCAAUGGAGUUGAUGUAGAUGAUCUCUGUGAUCAAUUCCCUCUCCGACAGAUUACUGGAAAAGGCUCCCGAAUUGGAUCUCACGGGAAGAGAGGCUCCCGACGGCGGUAAAGUAUUUUCAUUGAUCUUUUUAGCGAUGGGGGAAUAUUUGGGAAUUUAUAGGCCAAAGAAUAGGGUUAGGAGGCCUGCAGGGGACCCAAAAGCCACGGGGCGCGGCCACCCUCUAGGGUGCACCCUGCAGGCUUGUGGCCUCUCGGCAGGUGCCCUACCCCCUACUCCAAAUCUCGUGGGUCUCUUGUGGUCCAAGAAAAAUAUUUCCGGAAAUUUUGUUCCAUUUGGACUCCUUUUAAUAUUCCUUAUAUGCAAUACUCAAAAACAUGGAACAAACAGAAACUAUGACUAGGCUCUAGAUUAAUAGGUUAGUCCCAAAAAUAAUAUAAAAAAACAUAUUAAUGCAUAUAAAACAUCCAAAACAGAUAAUAUAAUAGCAUGAACAAUCAAAAAUUAUAGAUACGUUGGAGACAUAUAAGACAUAAGAAUCAUAUUAGUAUUCAUAGAAGACUCAAAUAUUUAUCGUGAAUAAUCUGAACAUAAAUCCAUAAUUCAUUGGAUCCCAACAAACGCACCGCACAAAGGGAUUACAUCAUAUGGAUCAAAGCGAAGAUUUGAUGAUCAUUGUAUUGAAGAUCAAGAGAGAGAGAGAGAGAGAUUGCCAUCUAGGUACUAGCUAUGGACCCGUAGGUGUGUGGUGAACUACUCACACAUCAUCAUGAGGGCAACAAGGUUGAUGAAGAGGCCCUCCGUGAUCGACCCCCCUCCGGCAGGGUGCCGAAAUGGAGCUCGAGAUGGCCUCCAGUCAUAACACAGACUUGCGGCAGUGUAAAAAGUGUUUCGGGACUACCUCUAGGUUUUUUAGAUCAUUUGAGAAUUUAUAAGCCAAAGAACGAAGGUGGGAGGGCCUCGAGGGGCCCACGAGCCAUCACGGCGCCCCUGGGCGCGUUGGGUUGUCUUGUGGGGCCCUCAGGUGACGUGCAACCUUCUUCCGAUGCUCGUUGGUCUUCUUUAGGUACAGAAAAAAUCUCCAACAAGUUUCAGGUCAAGUGGACUUCGUUUGGUAUGGAAAACUUGAAAAGUGAAAACAUGCGGAAAAUAACAAGUGGCACUAGGCACUUGGUCAAUAAGUUAGUGCUCAAAAAUAAUAUAAAUUGGUUAAUAAAUACCAAAAAUAUGCUACAAGGAUAAUAUCUGAGCAUGGAAAAAUCAAAAAUUAUAUAUACGUUGGAGACGUAUCAUAGUGCUUGUGGGGUGUGUUGCCUCCCGACAAGAUCGGCUCAUUGCCGAGGCGGUUUUGCAACAGCCCUACGCGAUCAUGACCCCAUGCCUAAAAGGUUUGUGAGGCCCUCGUUCUCAGCACACCGUGAGUGUUGAACAUAUGUUGUCUUUUGUACAUGUAUAGUACUAGAGUCUUGUACUUAUACCGUCGUACCUCCUCUCUCCCCUUUGUAUAUUUACAUGUCUCGGGAGACAAGUAGAGACCGGUCCACCAUGUACCUAUAUAUGUGCAUCAUGCACACAAUCAAUGAAUUAUCGAUGCAUGCAAACCCUUCUCUUCAACUAACAUGGUAUCACUUUAGCAUGUCGAUCCUCUCCUUGGUUCCACCCUAAAGAUGUCACCGCCACACCCUACCAUCGACGCCGCCCCUCUCGUGAUGCCGCCGCCGCACCCUACCGUCGACAUCGUCAUAGCCUGCCGCCAUCGCUGCUCCCCUCUUCCACCCCGCAGCCGCCACAUGCAUCAUGCCUCCCCCACUGCCUUCUCUCUCCACCCCGCCACCAAACCCUAACCGCCACCAAAACCCUAGCCGUAGCCGCCACCUCCAUGGAAUCUCCCUCAUCCUCCAUCCCUGGUGGCUCCAACCUGUUUUGUCGGCCUGACACUCCUAGCGAUGCUGACAUCCAUGACCUCAAUAUCCACGUCGCGUCCCCAUCAAACUAGAUCAAUCUAGUUCCUCCUACUUCGCAUGGAAGACCUACUUCAACCUCAUCAUGACAUAUAUUUUUCAUCGAAUGUAAUAUAUAUUUCGCAAGUUAAGUUGUCAACCUAAAAUGACAAGCAUGUCUUAUGAAAUGAGAUGAAGGAAGUACUCCAAACCCCCCUAUAAACCCAUUAUUUUACUUAGUCUUACUAUCACUUUUAUCGUUCCAUUUAAAUUUGAUCAAAACCUUAAAAUCGUCUAUUCCCUCCAUUUCAGUUUAUAGGGCCUGCAGGUAGUUUUAAGCCAUCGAUUUAACUAGCUAAAUAUCAGUUAUAUGUCAGCAAAAAUAUAUAAUUAAAUUCGUAAGUGAAUGUAGUUUUAAACAUAUAAUUUUGAUCAAACGUAACAUAUAUUUAGCUAGUUAAAUUGUCAACCUAAAAUGACACGCAUGUCUUAUAAAAUGAGAUGAAUGAAGUACUCCAAAUCCCCCUCCCCCCCAAAAAAAAAAGAAAAGAAAAACCUCUUAGGGCAUGUGCAAUGGUUGAUAAGAUGGUCUUAUCUUAAGUCUUACAUGUAAUCUAGAGAUGACAAAAAGUGUCUUAUAAUGAGUCAUAUCUUAGCCUAAUCUUCAAUAACUAGCUAAUCCUAAAAACAUGGUGAGACAUAUUGUGCUAAGAGAACACCUCUUGUUCUCUCUUAAAUAAGAGAAGACAAACUUUUUCUUACGAAUCUCUCUCCUCCACCUCAUCAUUUAUCCUACAUGGCACUACUAAGAUAACACCAUUGUACAUGUUUCAAAUCAAUAGUGAUUGUCUUAAUCUGUCGAUGGUUACAGGAGACCGUUUAUACUCUAUGGAGAGACACGACACUUGGAAAGGCAUCAGUUCCAGACAAACGCAUCCGUGCGGGAGGCAACCACCCGACGGUUGGGCAAGGGUAGAUUUACCCCUAAUUAUGAUGUGUAAUUAAUCUUAACACUCCCCUAAUCUAUGCUUGACCAUGUAGAAUCAUUACUCGAUUGUCCGGGUAGUGCCAUCAUCUCAAAAGGAUUCUCCCCCAAUCAGUUCUUCAUAAAAACUUGAUGAUAACCUGUAACAUAAACUCACAAAGAGAUAGCACAAUGUGAUGUCAUUGAACAAGGGUAUCUCAAGAAGUGACACCCCCUGAUGUGUGCAAGUCUCUAAGUCGUCGCAUACUAAUUCCAUGAACAUAUUUUUGGAAUUUUGAGUUUGGUAGAGACUUAGUAAAUAAAUCAGCAAGGUUGUCGCAUGAUUUGACUUGCAAGAUGCUUAUUUCCCCGCUUUUCUGAAGAUUAUGGGGAAAACCCACUUAGGAAAAAUAUGCUUAGUGAUAUUACUCUUGAUGUAUCAUGUUUGCAUCUGGGCAACCACAUGCCGCAUUAUUCUCAUAGAUAAUGGUGGGUGAUUCUAUUGAACCAAUUCCACAUGACUGUUGUAUGUAGUUUAUCAUUCUACGAAGCCAUACACAUUCACAUGAUGCUUCAAAUAAUGAAAUUAUUUCAGAAUGAUUUGUAGAUGUUGCCACCACAGUCUGUUUUGAAGAAUUCCAUGAUAUAGCGGUACCACCAUGUAGGAACACAAAACCGGUCUGUGAUAUGGCAUUAUGGGGAUCGGAUAAAUAGUUGGCAUCUGCAUACCCAAUCAUACCAGAGUCUAGAUUUCACUGGAACUAGAAGAAUAGGCCAAUAUCCUUUGUGCCUUGGAGAUAUAGAAAGAUAUUCUUUACUCCGGACCAAUGACGUUUGGUUGGAGCUGUGUUGUGUCUAGCAAGUAGAUUCACUGCAAAUACAAUAUCAGGUCUUGUGCAAUUUGCAAGAUACAUAAGUGCUCCAACAUCACCGAGGUAUGGAACUUCAGGUCCCAACACCUCUUCUCCAUCAUCCCUUGGUGUGAACGGAUCUUUCUCUACGUCUAGAGAUCGAACCACCAUAGGAGUUUUAGAUGGAUAGGAUUUGUCCAUAUUGAAUUUCUCCAAUAUUUUCUGGAUAUAUGCAGCUUGGUGUACUAUGAUUCCUGAGGGAAGGUGCUCAAGUUGAAUACCUAAGCAAAAUUUGGUUUUACCCAAAUCCUUCCUCUCAAAUUCCAUCUUUAGGUGAUUGUGUGCUUCCUCUAUGUCUAGUGUGCUGCCGAUGAUGUUGAGAUAAUCGACAUACACAGAAAUGAUGCAAAAUCUUUUAGGGGACUUCUUGAUGAAGACACAUGGGCAAUCAUCACUAUUGGAGUAACCUUUCAAAAGAAGGAACUCACUUAGUCGGUUGAAACACAUCUGCCCCGACUCUCUUAAGCCAUAUAAUGACUUAUUCAGCUUUACACAAUACAUGUUGCGUUUUGCACUGUUAUUCGGAACGGAGAUUCCGUCAGGAACCUUCAUAUAUAUGUCCGAAUCUAGUGACACGUAAAGAUAUGCGGUCACGACGUCCAUCAACUGCAUGGAUAGACAAUUUUGCAAUGCCAGUGAUAUAAGACAUCAAAAAGUGGUUCCACUCAUUACUGGAGAGUAUGUUUCAUUUAAAUCGAUGUCGGGUUCCUGCGUGAACCCUUGGGCUACGAGCCUCGCUUUAUAUCUCACCACCUCAUUGUUCUCAUUCCGUUUCUGGAGAAAAAACCCAUUUGAAUCCCGCGGGGAAGACACUAGGAGGUGUAGGUAUUGCUUCAGUGAAUACCUUUCUUUUGUUAAGCGAGGCAAUUUCUGCUUGGAUUGCAUCCUUCCAUUUAGGCCAGUUGGAGCGCCUUUGGCACUCAACUAUAGACCUUGGAUCAUGAUCAGUGAGAACGGUAUUUGCAAUCUUUUCAGCAAAAUAUAUGUCGACAGUCGUAGUCUUACGUUCAAAUGAUUCUCGAGAAUCAACAUAGUUGAUGGAAAUUUCCUACACCCCUAGAGAGUCUUCAUGAUUUCCCAAUACGAUUGAGGCUGGGUGUUCCGAUGUUCGAGCCAGUUUGUGCACACUAGAGCUGGGUUGUGGAGGUUUCCAUUGCACUGGGUGUAUACUACCAAUGAGGUGUUUGUCAAUGUUGAGUUGAUUUGCAUUUAGCGACUCCGAGGUUUUUCUCCUCGAUUUUCUUUCCUACUUGUUAGAAAUUGCUCCUCGUCAGAUGUCGUAAUACUACUCCUCUUUUUAGGAACGAGGAGUUGAGUAGUUUUGAUUGGUACCUCCACUCUUUCUGGCGCGUUACUCGCCGGAUUUAAGGAUUUUGUAACACCUUUCAGAUCAGUAAAUGAAUCUGGCAGAUUAUUUGCAAGAUGUUGCAAAUUAAUGAUCUUCCGAACUUGAAGUUUGGUCUCAUGGGUACGUGGAUCAGAGGAUGAAAUGGCAUGAGCAUUCCAAUCAAUUUUCGGGCAUUCUUUCUGGUACUUGAAAUCUCCCCCUAAUGACGGAAAAUGUUCCUCAUUGAAUAUGCAAUCAGUGUGACGGGCUGUGAACAGAUCCCCAUUAAGGGGUUCCAGGUACUUAUUAAUUGACGGUGAUUUGUACCCCACAUAGAUUCCCAACUUUCUGUGUGGGCCCAUAGAUGUCCGCUGUGGUGGUGAGAUCGGGAUGUAUGCAUCACAUCCGAACUUACGCAGAUGGGAAAUGCUAGGAGGAUUUCCACGUACCAAUCCAGAGGGGAGGAAGUGUGAUAUGCAGUUGGCCUUGAUUGUAUCAAGUUAGCAGCGUGUAAAACAGCGUGACCCCAACAAGAGGUUGGCAAGUUGCAAUUCGUCAACAAAGGUCUUGUAACGAUUUUAAUACUCUUGAUCAAUGCUUCAGCCAAUCCAUUUUGUGUAUGGACAUAUGGAAUAGAGUGCUGAACUUCAAUCCCCAAAGCCAUGCAAUAAUCAUUGAAAGCACACGAGGAGAAUUAUGCAACGUUGUCCAUUCGCAUUGACUUAAUUCAACUUUGAGGAUAAUGGGCUUGAACUAAAUGACUUGCCUCAUUAUCUUGGCAAAUGCAUGGUUCCGUGUGGUAGAAGACACACGUGUGACCAUCAUGUAGAUGCGUCAAUCAGAACAAUGAAAUACCUGAAGGGUCUAGAUAAUGGCUGAACGGGACCACAAAUGUCUCCUUGAAUACAUUCAAGGAACUGAAGUGGUUCAGCUUGUAUUUUGAGAUGUGAGUGCCUCAAAAUUAGCUUUCCCGUGGCACAAGAUGUGCACACAAAAUGAGAAGAUUGAGGAAAUUUUGACUCAAUCAAAUUAUGACCAAUGGAAUUGCUAGUAAUUUUUCGCAUGUUCGGGAUGGUCGAGGCGAUCAUGCCAGGUUUGUAAUGUGUCAACAUUCUGAAAAAUUACUUUGUAUGCAACAUGUUCCACGGGUUUGAUGUACGUAUAGUACAAACCAUACGAUAGAGAAGGAAUUUUCUCAUGUACUCCCUUUGUAAACUAAUACCAGCACAAUGCCCGUGCGUUGCUACGAAACUAUAAAAUACGAGGAGUUAGGUCACUGGCUUAGGAAAUCGUCAAAAUACGGUGGUGCCAUGUGAAAUUUGCUCGUGGUUCACUAUUAAAAAAGAUAAAAAAUACCACAAAAGAUUACGCGUCAGGCAUUGAAUCUUAAGUGACCAUGGUCCUUUACAAACACAACAUUUCGUAUUUUGAAACAUAUGAGAAUAGACAAUGGUACUGCACAAGGUCAUGGAUCAGGUAGGAGGAUAAGGUCUAUCAUCGUUUUCGAAUUACAAUCUGUUCACUCUCUUGUUCUGUGAUAUAAAACUAAAAUAACUUGGCUGGGAAAAAAGAAAAAGAAAAAUAAGAGCAUUAUAUUGAGUUGAAGUCGCAUUUCUGCAUUUGUUAUUUGUGCCCAAGUGUUAGUCUCACAUGAAUAGUAGUGUAUUGUUUAUUUGUGUUUGGUCCCACAUGUGAGCACAAAUACAUUUGUUUAUUUAUGUUCAUGGAAGGUCGCUAUUCUCAAUAUGGGUAGGGGUGCAUUUGUUUAUUGUGAAGGUUGUUGGUCCCAUAUGUGAACUCACCACCAACUCCAACCUUUAUAAGUAGGAAAUAUAAAAGUGUUUAGAUCACUAUUUUAAUGAUCUAAACGCUCCUAUAUUAGUUUACGGAGGGAGUACCUUUUUUUCCAUAUCAGUGAUCUUUAGUAAAGAGUAGAUACUCCUCUUUGUUUACUUCAUGGGUUUCAAUAUGAAAACCAAUCUUACGGAUAUCUCGAUAACUCAUCAGGGUACGUGAGGAGUCGGGAUACAAUAAAGCAUCCUCGAUCGUCACUUGUGUAACACUAGGGAGGGUGAAUAUGGCACGUCCAGUACCAACAAUCACUGUAUCGCGUCCAUCGAUAGUUAGAAUAUCUUCAUUCAUUUUUUUCAGAGUUUGAAAAAUAUUUUAUCUCCCUCGCUCUGGAGUUUGUGGCACCACUGUACACAAGGCAUAAUUCCUCUUCCAUUGGACUGUUCAUGUAGAAAGCGGCGGCGAGCGCUUUUCCUCUUCUCUCCUUCUCCGUUGCUCUUUUGCUCUUUCUAACACACAGUGCUGAUAACGUGAUUCAAAUCGAUAGUGAUUGUCUUAAUCCGUCGAUGAUUACAAGAGACCAUUUAUACUCUCUAGAGAGACACGACGCUUGGAAAGACAUCGGUUUGAGACAGACGCGUCCGCGCGGGAGGCACGGCGGUUGGGCAAAGGGAGAUUUACCCUAAUUACAAUGUGUAAUUAAUCUUAACAGUACAUGAUCUUAUAAACUUUUCUCUAAAAACAGUCGUCAAAACGCGUUAAACGCCCAUAGGCGGGCCAGCUGUCAGCCUGUCACCUCCGGACCCGCUAACCCGCGACUCGCCCCGAUAAAUAGCCCUCCACCCCUACGCCUUUCCCCACUACUACCAGCAAAGAUCUUCUGAUCUUCUCCUCCCUCUCUUAUUCUACCCAUCGUCGCCGCCGUCACAGAUCACACCUCUCCACCACCACCUCGUACGUCGCUAGUCGCUAUCACCAACCGAAGCAAUGGCCGCCUCCACCAUCGCGUCCAAGGCCCUGACCGUCCUCGCCUUCCUGUCGGUCGCCGCCUUCUCCGUCGUCUCCGCCCAGGACGCCCCGGCGCCCAGCCCCGUGUCCACAGCCGGCGUCGCGGCACCGUCCCUCGCAGCUGCGCUUGUCGCCUCCGGUGCCGCCUUCGUCUUCGCCGCCGUCCGCCACUGAAGCGACUGCCUCUAUCCUCUCCCGUCGAUGGCUCCGCUACAUAGUAGUACCGCCACAUAGUAGAUCCAUUUAUUUAUGUUAGCGAUUUGUUCGUUUGUAUCACUUUUGCCCAGAUCUGCGACUGUCUGUCACACGACAAUGGUGGUUUUAUCUCCUUCAGCGAUUGUACCCGUGUGCUUGUAGAUACUGCUAGUACUAUUUAUCCGGUUUGAUCUACUGGUACAAUCGCCCCAUUUAGUUUUGAUGAUGCUUGUUGUCUCCCCUGUUUUUUCGUGCUUGCGUUUAGUCUCGCGGAGUAAUUCUAUGAAAUCGUCAGUUGUGAUUCCUAAAUUUAGCAGAAUCGCGUCAUGUAGGUCAUAUAUGUUUGUAUUUUACUUGCUCUUCUUGGUGCACUUGAAGACGAUACCCAAGAUUUACUAUGACGUGCAGUAGGCGAAAACCUAUUACUAUUCCGUUCCACAAUAUAGGAAGCUGUUUUAGUUUUACCUUGCAAAAUCGUCCCAGGGGGAAUAUAGAUUUUUAAUUUAACAGCCCUUUGAAUUGGUACGCCACUUGGUUGUUCACAUCAGAACACUUGCAACGAAAAAAUAACUCCACAUAUUUGAGUAAAAACAGCCGGACUCGCCCAAGUUUUGUUGGGCAAACAUGCUUCUCGUAUCAAACCCUUGAAUUCAUGCAUACUGAUAAUAUAGCUUAAAUUCAUAUCAAUUCAACAAUACAACAAAGCAAAAAUAAAUAACAAUUCAACUAAUCAAACAUGUCAAAUAGCAUAAAUUCAUAUCAAUACAACAAAGCAACAAUAAAUCAUAAUUCAACAAAUCAAACAUGUCAAAAUAAAACUCAAUGUUCAAGCAGCGCCCGAGGCGUUCGCUGCUUCGAUGGUCCCUCCCCCCUCAUACUCCUUGUGUGGGUUGAUCUUCAUGCAAGUUGAAACCUUUCGUUCUCAAACUCUAUUCCAAUAGUCCGGGCCUUCUAGAGCUAUCAUUUGACACAUGCAUGCCUCAUGCUUCUUCAAGUCUGUCUUCUUCCUCUCAAUUUGCAACGGAAGGGAAAUAUCCACGUCGAUGACGAUCACCUUCUUAAGGCAACGUUCUCCACGAUGGAGUUGAUUGCCAUGGAUGGGCCAGGAACACUUUGUCAAGGCAUCAUACAUGCCGACAGUGGAGGAUGGGACGGGGCUACUCGACAACAAUAUCUAUGGCGACGACACGAAUGAAGGAGUAAGGGUGGAGGACGACGAUGGCUCGGGAGAAGGACGCUCGAUUUGGUGGAACUUGGGGUGGGUCUGAUCUAUGUGCUACUACCUGGUGGAUACCCCCGAUACUGCUACAUGUCCCCUUGUUGGAUCACAAUUUACCACAAUGUAGGUAGCACCUAUAUCAUAGUUGUAUUCAGUGCCCCAGUUUCACUACCCCAGCAAAAUGCCUCCUUUUAUAGCCCUAAAUGGUCCCAUGGGAGCUUGUUUGAGCCAAAAGGCCUCAUUAUACAUAACACCUUUUUGGUUACCAAAAUCUGAUGUAACAUUAACUUCUCUCUCUCAAUUACUUCCAUUGUCAUUGCCUUUUCAAACUCUCAUUUGGAUACGUCUCUUGCAUAUCCAAUUCUAUUUUCUCCCUCUCCAUGUUCAACCUCUUCCGGGCAAACCUCAUCUUCUCCCUUUGCACAUAUAUGAAAAUAUUGUACCUCUCCUUCACCUCCUUGAUGGGAAAAAAAUGCAUGUCCAUGUGGUAGACAAUUUGCCUGUUGCGCCAUCACACAUGAUCCUAUCCUUCUUCCACUUGUUUCCCGCCACCCAUGGUUUUUCUUUGGCACGAUAGCUUGUAUGUGCACCACGGUGUAGCUGAUCAUCAUGGUCAGGAUCCACACGAAUUCCAUCGAGGCAUCAUCCAUGCCGAUGGUGAGAGACAAGGUUGUCGGCAAUUACAUCUACGACAACGAGCGAGGACGACAACACGAACGGGAAGCAAAGGUGUAGGUGCGUUGGGGCACGAACGCGGAAGGAGUAGACACCCCCCUCGCGUCGCCCCCUCGGGCGCCUCGGGGGCGACUAGGGUUCAGCAGUCGCUGCCACUCCUCCAGCUCCCCCUCCCCUCGUCGCCACCGAAGACGACCGUCGGUUCGCUAGCGCGGGCACCGGUGAAGGUGGCGGCGGGGAUCUCGGUGCUUCGUUCCCCAUCAGAGGUCUGUGGUGUCUAGGGCGGCGGCCCUACCCAGUGAGGCGGCGGCGUCGGGCGGACGACGACGCUCGUAGGUGGAUGCUGGCCAGCGUGCAAGGCCGUGUGGGCGGUGGGCCGUAGGAGGUGUUCAGGCAUGGUACAGAGUCCCUCUGCGUCAGAUAUGGAGGUGCGCAUCCCCUCUCCUCCGUUCCCUCCCCCUCGCCUUGCCUAUGGUUGCGACUCGGUUGCUUGGUCUGGCUCUGGUGUCGUUUGGUGGAGCAGCUUGGGGUCCGGGGGAAACCCUGGCCAGUUUGGUUGGCCCGAUGGAGGCAACGCCCAAUGGCGUCGCUUUCGUUCAUGGGGGCGUUGUCGAGGCUCCCCAACUCUCCACCCCAACCCUUGCCCGGGUGAAAACCGUCAAUCUGCUUGGAUUUGGUGACGGUGGUGUCGUGUGCAUCAUGACCUCCCCCGAGGCAUCGUCAGUGGGCAGGUGCUCGGAUGGGAGGAUUUGCAGGUGACGGUGUGGCUGCUUGUGUCCGUGCUUGUGCAUCUGGCACUCACGUCUCUUCAGGUUGGGCCUCUCCACUGGCGGUAGGUGUUACUCAGUUCCGACGGUGCGGCGUCUCGAUCCUGACGGAAGGGGAUAGGGUUCCCCUUCCCGACGGCGGUGACACGACGCUCAUUGGAGACACCCAAGCUUCACUACGGUCGUGCUCUGCUUCCCUUGCCUCUUGCACAAGUACAGUUCCUGCUGCCUCCUCUUCGACGUUCGAUUCAUGAAGCUCUCCAUCUCCAACUAGUUAGGCGGGAAUCGUGGCGGUGCUGCGGGCAUGGCAUUUCCCAAUUUGAGGUGGUCACCCUAGGUUCAUCUGUCGUUGCGAGGGGCACACUCUUCUAGCUCUUGGGGGAGCUUUUUGGAAUCCCGACGGUACGACACCUAUGAGCCAUGGUGAGGGGGUAGGGUCCCUCUUCGGUGACAGAGAAGGAAGGUUGUGUUCUCCCCUCGUCCCAUAGGUGUUGGUAGAGCAAGGUUUAGUUUGAUGGUGGCAAUGGCCUGCUCUGCUUCUUCGUCCUUUAUUCUGAUGAUCCUAGUGUGGAGUGCUCGACCUCUAGCAAGUUGUAAUCUUCAUUUUCAUUUCUUUAGAUGCUUCUAGAGGCUGGUGUCUGGGUAAUCGGGUUUGCUUUUCAGCGUGCCCCAUUGUCCCAAUUUAACCGUUGUAAUCUGGAUGUGUGUCGUAAUUCCUGUCUGGUUAAUGGCUUUGAAUUCGCGAGCCUUAGUUCCAAAAAAGCACGAAAGGAAGCCGAUUUGGGAUGAGUCCGGUAUGUCAGAUCUGGACAGACAUGUUUGGACGUUCCCCAUAUCCCCCACCCCCAAAAUCCCAUGUGGACGGUAAGUCACGGCAUUUGGACCGAGUUUGUCAAGUCCGAUUGGUGGCAAUUUUUGGUCGGAACAGACCACCCGCACGUUUGGGGCGAAUACGGGAACUCCUGUUUGUAGAUGCACUAAUAUGCAGUUUACUCUUUGUGUAACAAUCGUGAAAGAAAAUAAAUCAAAUCGGUCGUGACAAGGUCGCAUAUACACACCAAUCAUCAGCAUUCAUGUGUUUAUGGGUAGUGAAAGAAAGAAAAAUGCUAUGGUCCAAACGAAAGUGCCGGUUCCAAACGACAUUGGAUCUUGGUAUUUCGUAGUGCUUGAUAGCGAAUCCUAAUUGGACUCGUGGCCGCACCAAAGCAGCAGGAUGAAGCAGCUGCAUGCUUUGUCGACACCUCACCGCCGGUACUACAUCCACAAAUGUGAUGUGACAAGAUUAGAGCAUCUCCAUCGGCGCUCCAAUAGGUCCAAGACUAUUUUUUGUCGCCCGUGCAAAAGAAAGGUCCAGCCAUGCCCCAAGGAACUCCUUUUUCAUCGAUGAGGACCGAAAUUGGUCCCGACGGUCUCAGUCUGAACCCAGCGCGCUUGAGGGGCGCCCGAGAGUGUCGUGGGAACGCUUUUGGCGCAAAACGGCGCAAUAUGGGUGUGAACCCGCCGAGUCAGCGAGUAGGCGCGUUCGUCGUCCUCAUCGUCUCGUUUCUCACGGAAUUCAAUGCGAAGGCUGUGUCGCCGGCCAACCUUCCAUUGGCGGCGCAGUGAAGGCGCGAUGACGCACGUCCCGUCCACUCCUGCCACGCGUUCACACGGCGCCGUCCUGCGUGCCUCCUUCCCGUGACUAUCUAAGCCGCCCCUCCCCUUGCCGGUGGCCACACACCUCUCUCGCCAGACUCUUGCCGCCGAUGCCCUCUCCUCUUUUCACCCCUUUCAUCACCGGCGCCUUCUCUUCCUCUCUCCAAUGGCUGAGCGCUACCCCAGCGACGGAGCGACAACCAACGGCUUCGAUUGCCACCACCUGCACGGGUCCGAGGCCCGACUCCUUUACGAGGCGGACUACCCGGUGCCACCGGACAUGCGGGUGCCAGGCUCUUAGAGGCUGAGCGCCGGCGGUGUCCUGGUGCCACCGCUACCCUCUAGAGCUGACCGACGCGCGGAGAUCGCGCGCAUCCGGUCGUCGCUGCGAGAGAGCUCGCGAAACUUGUUGAGGUACGCCCCCGACAGCAACACGUUGUGGACGACGUACUUUGAAAGCCGUCACACCGACCAGCUCGCCGCCACCAAUGGAGACGAACCCCGCAGCAGCUAUAACUACGCGGGGCGCGCCUAUGGUGGGGCGUCCCUGGUCGCAUGUUGGAGGCCGUCGUCGAGCACAUCGAGGGCGGAAACUCGCUACUAUACGAGUACCCACGAUUGCGACAUUUCUUGGACGCCGAGGCGGAUGGAGACGGUGUCUUCCUCAUCCGGCUCCCGCUCCUGCUCCUCCGGGUCGCCGACGCUCCUCCCCGUCAAAUCGGAGCUGCAUGAGACGUGAUGGCCCACAAGCGUAUAGGAUCGCAGCAAUUUUCGAGGGUAGAGUAUUCAAACCAAAUUUAUUGAUUUGCCAAGACGGGAAGCAAAAGAAUAUUCUCUAGUAUUAGCAGCUGAAUGUGUCAGAUUCAACCACACCUGGAAGAUUAGUGUCUGCAAGCAAAGUAUCAGUAGCAAGGUAGUAUGAUAGCAACGGUGCCAGAAAGGAUCUGUUCACAAGGCAGACUAUUCCUAACUGUUGUAUCAAUGGCGCCAACACGUUGACGGGGGAUUAUUCUUGAGAAGAAUGCUUCCCCGGCUACGGCUCCAACAAAGUCUUGCAACAAGUAACAACGGAGUAGCAAGGAACAGCAGUAGUAGCAGCAGCAAAGUAACAGCAGUAGAAACAGUAGCAGCAAAGUGACAGCAGCAGCAAAGUGGCCCAAUCCCUUUUGUAGCAAGGGACAAGCCUAGGCAAAGUAACGUAGCGAGAACCAGUAGUAAAAGACUCGUAGGCAGUGGACCAGUGAUGGAUGAGUAUGGCGGAUGUGAUUCAUCAUGUAACAACUAUAACACGGAGAGAUAUGUAACUAGCUCCCGUUCGUCAAUCUAAUGUAGGCAUGUAUUCCGUAUGUAGUCAUAUGUGCUUAGGGAAAAUAACUUGCAUGACAUCUAUUGUCCAUCCCUCCCGUGGCAGCGGGGUCCUAAUGGAAACUACGGGAUGUUAAGGUUCUCCUUUUAAUAAAGAACCGGACCAACGCAUUAACACGCGGUGAAUACAUGAACUCCUCAUACUAUGGUCAACUCCGGGAGUGGUUCUGGCUAUUGUCACUCCGGGGUUGCCGGGUCAUAACACAUAGUAGGUGACUACAACUUGCAAGAUAGGAUCUAAAACACACAUAUAUUGGCGACAACAUAAUAGGUUCAGAUCUGAAAUCAUGGCACUCGGGCCCUAGUGACAAGAAUUAAGCAUAGCCAAGUAGUAGCAACAUCAAUCUAGAACAUAGUGGAUACUAGGGAUCAAUCCCCGUCAAGAACUAACUCGAUUACAUGAUAGAUCUUAUCCAAAUCAUCACCGUCCAGCAAGCCUGAGAUGAGAUUACUCACGAACGAUGAAGAGCAUCAUGGAAUUGUCGACGGAGAAAGGUUGAUGAUGACGAUGGCGACGAUUUCCCCUCUCCGGAGCCCGAAACGGACUCCAGAUCUGCCUUCCAGAUGAAGAACAGGAUGUGGCGGCGCCUCCGUAUCGCAAAACGCGAUGAAACCUUCUCUCUGAUUUUUUUCCAGGCGAAACGGAAGAUAUAGAGAUGAGAUUGGGGGCGGUGGUGCCACGUGGGCCCCACAAGCCUGCACGGCGCGACCAUAGGGGGUGGCCGCGGCCUGUGGGCUUGUGGCCCACUGGCACGCCCCCUAUUUUUCUUCUAUUCUAGAAAAAAUCUCCGUAAAUUUUCAAGAUGUUCCGAGAACUUUUAUUUCUGCACAAAAACAUCACCAUGGCAAUUCUGCUGAAAACAACGUCAGUCCGGGUUAGUUCCAUUCAAAUCAUGCAAAUUAGAGUCCAAAACAAGGGCAAAAGAGUUCGAAAAAGUAGAUACAACGGAGACGUAUCAACUCGCCCAAGCUUAAAGCCUUGCUUGUCCUCAAGCAACUCAAUUGACAAACUGAGAGAGACAAAAGUAAAACUUUGACGAACUAUGUUUGAUCUUGUUGUUGCAACUAUGUCUAACUCACAACCAGAAUUUCAGCAACAUCACAAGCAAACCACAUAAGAAAAUGACAUCUAGGUCUCACGGUAAACUCAUAUCAAUGGCAUAAUCAACUAGCGAGCAAAUAAUAAUAAGCCUCAACUAUCAACACUUCAAUCAAAACAACAUGAAGCAGUACGAAUAGAUGGUACCUCGCUAGCUCUUUCUGAGACCGCAAAACAUAAAUGCAGAGCACCUUCAAAGACCAAGGGCUGACUAAACAUUGUAAUUCAUGGCAAUGAAGAUCCAGUCAUAGUCAUACUCAACAAAGUUAAAAGCAAAGCAUAAAAAUGAGAGAGGUGCUCUCUAAUUGUUGCUUUUGUAAAAGGAGGAUGACUCAACAGGAACAUAAAUAGAUAGGUCCUUCACAGAGGGAAGCAUUGAUUUGCAGAGGUGCCAGAGUUCAAGCUUUUAAAACAGAGAUAAUAAUUUUGGGUGGCAUGCUUUCAUUGUCAAUGCAAUGACUAAGAGUUCUCAACAUCUUCCACGCUACACAUGCUAUAGGCGGUUCCCAAACAGAAAAGUAAAGUUUUGACUCCCACACCACCAAUCAAUCACACUCCACGGCUAGCCGAAUCCUCGGGUACCGUCCAUACCAACAUCAAUCCUGGGCGAGUUUUGUUUGCAAUUAUCUUUUUGAUUUGAGCAUGGAACUGGGAAUUCCAAUUACCGGCCCCUUUCUCGUGAAUGAUAGUGAAUAAACACAUAUCGAGGAUAACACGCCUAGCAUGGAAGAUACCAAUAGCCCCCUGUCACCACAUGAGCGGUUCGGGCAUGCAGAACAGAUUAUUUCUUGAAGAUUUAGAGAGUGGCACACGCAAAUUUACUUGGAAUGGCAGGUAGAUACCGCACAUAGGUAGGUAUGGUGGACUCAUAUGGAACAACUUUGGGUUUAUAGGAGGUGGAUGCACAAACAGUAUUCCCGCUUAGUACAAGUAAAGGCUAGCAAAAGACUGGGAAGCGACCAACUAGAGAGCGACAACAUUCAUCAAAAUGCAUUGAGAUGAACUAACAUUGAGUGCAAGCAUGAGUAGGACAUAAACCACCAUCAACAUGAACAUCAUAGAGGCUAUGUUGAUUUUGUUUCAACUACAUGCAUUAACAUGCGCCAAGUCAAGUCACUUGAAUCAUUCAAAGGAGGAUACCAUCCUAUCAUACUACAUCAUAGUCAUCUCAACAUUCAAGUUGGCAACCAAGGCAAACCAUUAUAAGCUCCUAGCUAAAUAAGCAUGGCAUAAGCAACUAUGAUCUCUAAGUUGUCAUUGCAAACAUGUUUCUCUCACAACAAAGCUGAAUCAGGCAUGAUGAGCUAGUCAUAUUUACGAAAACAAAA